UACGGAGGGAGCUAGCGUUAUUCGGAAUUACUGGGCGUAAAGCGCACGUAGGCGGCCUGCUAAGUCGGAUGUGAAAGCCCAGGGCUCAACCCUGGAAGUGCAUUCGAAACUGGCGAGCUUGAGUGUCGGAGAGGGUGGUGGAAUUCCGAGUGUAGAGGUGAAAUUCGUAGAUAUUCGGAGGAACACCAGUGGCGAAGGCGACCACCUGGACGAACACUGACGCUGAGGUGCGAAAGCGUGGGGAGCAAACAGG
rnacentral:rRNA from 1 species